GAGGAAAGCUGGAGGCGUGCCUAAUACAUGCAAGUCGAGCGAACGGACGAGAAGCUUGCUUCUCUGAUGUUAGCGGCGGACGGGUGAGUAACACGUGGAUAACCUACCUAUAAGACUGGGAUAACUUCGGGAAACCGUAGCUAAUACCGGAUAAUAUUUUGAACCGCAUGGUUCAAAAGUGAAAGACGGUCUUGCUGUCACUUAUAGAUGGAUCCGCGCUGCAUUAGCUAGUUGGUAAGGUAACGGCUUACCAAGGCAACGAUGCAUAGCCGACCUGAGAGGGUGAUCGGCCACACUGGAACUGAGACACGGUCCAGACUCCUACGGGAGGCAGCAGUAGGGAAUCUUCCGCAAUGGGCGAAAGCCUGACGGAGCAACGCCGCGUGAGUGAUGAAGGUCUUCGGAUCGUAAAACUCUGUUAUUAGGGAAGAACAUAUGUGUAAGUAACUGUGCACAUCUUGACGGUACCUAAUCAGAAAGCCACGGCUAACUACGUG
rnacentral:rRNA from 1 species